GACGAACCGUGCGAACGUUGUUCGGAAUCACUGGGCUUAAAGGGCGCGUAGGCGGGCUGCCGCGUCCGGGGUGAAAUCCUCCCGCUCAACGGGAGAACGGCCUCGGAUACGGGCGGCCUCGAGGGGGGUAGGGGCAUCUGGAACUGUGGGUGGAGCGGUGAAAUGCGUUGAUAUCCACAGGAACUCCGGUGGCGAAGGCGAGGUGCUGGACCCCAUCUGACGCUGAGGCGCGAAAGCCGGGGGAGCGAACGGG
rnacentral:rRNA from 1 species